AUUGCUGAAAUAAUCUUAAGAAAUGUAGAGUCAGGUAAUAUGAAAAUAUACUGCAACUUUGAGAAAACACAUAAGGUACAUUGAUGAUGUAAUAACAGUUUGGACAAAUUGGAAUAGCAUAGAAGAAUUUCAGCAAGAUUUGUCACAUGAAGAAUACGGACUAAAGAUCAAAAAUGAACAAUGCAGCAACCAACAAAUGCAUUUUCUAGAUUCGAGCAUAAAAAAGGAGGGAACAACAAUAGUAACAACAGUGUACAGAAAGCACUGUUACUACAGUGCAGUGUAAGCAGUGUACUUAUCAGCCCAUACUGAUCCCGAGCUGGUCACCCGACCCAGUUGUGCAAAAGGCCGCUGCAUUCAGAUAUUACUUCAAGAGGGCAUAUGAAUACACAGUAAGAAGCCAAGACCUGCAUGAGGAGCUCGACUACAUUUACAGAACGGGACAUGAGCACGGGUACUCCAAGAAGUUCCUCAACACCAUACACACCAAGAUCAAAGCAGCCGAGUGAUGAAGGGAGGAUUAAUACUAACAGGAUAAGCAGAGAUGAUGAUGAUUUUCUAAGUGUCCCAUAUCAAACUAAUAAGCUGGAAGUGAUAAAGGAAAUAGCAAGAAAAACAGGAAAAACAAUCACCACCAAAAGGCAACCAACAUCAUUCAACGUUCUUAGGAAUGA
rnacentral:lncRNA from 1 species